CGGCGGACGGGUGAGUAACACGUGGGCAACCUGCCUGGUAAGACUGGGAUAACACCGGGAAACCGGUGCUAAUACCGGAUAAUCCUUUUCCUCUCAUGAGGAAAAGCUGAAAGNCGGUUUCGGCUGACACUUACAGAUGGGCCCGCGGCGCAUUANCUAGUUGGUGAGGUAACGGCUCACCAAGGCGACGAUGCGUAGCCGACCUGAGAGGGUGAUCGGCCACACUGGGACUGAGACACGGCCCAGACUCCUACGGGAGGCAGCAGUAGGGAAUCUUCCACAAUGGACGAAAGUCUGAUGGAGCAACGCCGCGUGAGCGAUGAAGGCCUUCGGGUCGUAAAGCUCUGUUGUUAGGGAAGAACAAGUACCGGAGUAACUGCCGGUACCUUGACGGUACCUAACCAGAAAGCCACGGCUAACUACGUGCCAGCAGCCGCGGUAAUACGUAGGUGGCAAGCGUUGUCCGGAAUUAUUGGGCGUAAAGCGCGCGCAGGCGGUCCUUUAAGUCUGAUGUGAAAGCCCACGGCUCAACCGUGGAGGGUCAUUGGAAACUGGGGGACUUGAGUGCAGAAGAGGAAAGCGGAAUUCCACGUGUAGCGGUGAAAUGCGUANAGAUGUGGAG
rnacentral:rRNA from 1 species